CAGCCGCACGGUAAUACGAAGGGGGCUAGCGUUGUUCGGAAUUACUGGGCGUAAAGCGCACGUAGGCGGCUUUGUAAGUUAGAGGUGAAAGCCUGGAGCUCAACUCCAGAAUUGCCUUUAAGACUGCAUCGCUUGAAUCCGGGAGAGGUGAGUGGAAUUCCGAGUGUAGAGGUGAAAUUCGUAGAUAUUCGGAAGAACACCAGUGGCGAAGGCGGCUCACUGGACUGGUAUUGGCGCUGAGGUGCGAAAGCGUGGGGAGCAAACAGGAUUAGAUACCCCCGUAGUUCCUGUCUCUUAUACA
rnacentral:rRNA from 1 species